UACGGAGGAUGCGAGCGUUAUCCGGAUUUAUUGGGUUUAAAGGGUGCGUAGGCGGGAUGCCAAGUCAGCGGUAAAAAUGCGGUGCUCAACGCCGUCGAGCCGUUGAAACUGGCGUUCUUGAGUGGGCGAGAAGUAUGCGGAAUGCGCGGUGUAGCGGUGAAAUGCAUAGAUAUCACGCAGAACUCCGAUUGCGAAGGCAGCAUACCGGCGCCCUACUGACGCUGAGGCACGAAAGCGUGGGUAUCGAACAGG
rnacentral:rRNA from 1 species